ACCGGCGUAGUUUACCUGGUUAGAACACCGGUUUGUCGAACCGGAAAAGCGGGUUCAACCCCCGUCGCUGGUG
rnacentral:tRNA from 1 species